CCGGUCGGCCGGAUGGCCGCCGGGAGCGGUCCUGCGGCCGUUCCCGGAGGAAAGUCCGGGCUCCACGGAAACGGGACGCCGGGUAACGCCCGGCGGGAUGUUCCGCAGCGGCCCGCGGGCCGGCGGAAUGUCCCAGGGAAAGCGCCACAGAAAGCAGACCGCCGACGCGCCCCGCCGGCCGCCGAAGGCCGACGGGGAAUGCGGGCAAGGGUGAAAGGGUGCGGCAAGAGCGCACCGCGCCCCUGGCGACAGGGGCGGCACGGCAAGCCCCGUCCGGAGCAAGACCGAAUAGGGACGGCGCGCCCCGCGAGCCGGGGCAGGGCGGGUUUCCGGCCCGAGCCGUCCGGGUUGGUCGCGCGAGGCGUGCAGCGAUGCACGUCCCAGAUGAAUGGCCAUCAUCCGCCGCGACGCCCCGCACUGGGUGACGGCGGAGACAGAACCCGGCUUACAGGCCGGCCGGCAUG
rnacentral:RNase_P_RNA from 1 species